UGGGGAAUAUUGCACAAUGGGCGCAAGCCUGAUGCAGCCAUGCCGCGUGUGUGAAGAAGGCCUUCGGGUUGUAAAGCACUUUCAGCGAGGAGGAAGGGUAGUGUGUUAAUAGCACAUUGCAUUGACGUUACUCGCAGAAGAAGCACCGGCUAACUCCGUGCCAGCAGCCGCGGUAAUACGGAGGGUGCAAGCGUUAAUCGGAAUUACUGGGCGUAAAGCGCACGCAGGCGGUUUGUUAAGUCAGAUGUGAAAUCCCCGCGCUUAACGUGGGAACUGCAUUUGAAACUGGCAAGCUAGAGUCUUGUAGAGGGGGGUAGAAUUCCAGGUGUAGCGGUGAAAUGCGUAGAGAUCUGGAGGAAUACCGGUGGCGAAGGCGGCCCCCUGGACAAAGACUGACGCUCAGGUGCGAAAGCGUGGGGAGCAAAACAGGAUUAGAUACCCUGGUAGUCCACGCUGUAAAACGAUGUCGACUUGGAGGUUGUGCCCUUGAGGCGUGGCUUCCGGAGCUAACGCGUUAAGUCGACCGCCUGGGGGAGUACGGCCGCAAGGUUAAAA
rnacentral:rRNA from 1 species